rnacentral:rRNA from 1 species
UAGGGAAUAUUGCGCAAUGGGGGGAACCCUGACGCAGCAACGCCACGUGAGUGAGGAAGGCCUUCGGGUCGUAAAGCUCUGUCCUAAGGGAAAAAUGUCUAUUUGGUAAAUAAUCAAGUGGAGUGAUGGUACCUUAGAAGAAAGCACCGGCUAACUUCGUGCCAGCAGCCGCGGUAAUACGAAGGGUGCAAGCGUUGUUCGGAUUUAUUGGGCGUAAAGCGCGCGCAGGCGGAUGAAGAAGUCAGAUGUGAAAACUCGGGGCUUAACCUCGAACGUGCGUCUGAAACUUUUUGUCUAGAGUGAUGGAGGGGAAAGGGGAAUUUCACGUGUAGGGGUAAAAUCCGUAGAGAUGUGAAGGAACACCGGAGGCGAAAGCGCCUUUCUGGCCAUUGACUGACGC